UCCAAAGUAGCGGCUGAGGCGAUAGUAAUGCCUUGCCUGUCAACCAAUACUAUUGGCAAAAUGCCAGGGGCCAUUCCGACUCAGCUGUGGCUCUGAGCAAGAAUGUGCUGGGAGUGCAAUAUCUGGAGAUAGCGAGAAAAUUCCUGAGAAAGCCAGGACUUAUGCCUGCCCUGCCUGGAAAAUGUAGCAUUUUGACAUAAGGAAGAACUGCCUGGGACAGCCCAGGCUUGAUUCCUCUCUCCUUGGAAGCAGGACAUCACUCAAAACCUUACCAGACUGAGUCACCUUUGUACCCAGUGCACAGUGAGCCUGCUUCACAAAAUUGGCACAGCUUUCUCUGCUUGUACUGAUUGGGAAGGCAAUGGCCUCAGCCUCAAUACGCAGAAUAACCCCAGGUGAUAUCAUGAAGCUUCGCCAGUAUCAACAUCAUUGACCACAAGGACCACAUGUUCAUCCAGAAGAACGUGGCCAAGGUUGACAAGGUCAACAGAGCUUUAAGUGAUGGAAAAUCCAUCACAUAGCAACUGAAGAAUGAACAUCAAGUGGCUUUGUGGUGGAAUGGCAACCUGUAUGACAAGGAGAUGAAGCAGCAGAAGACUGGGAGCAUAAUGCCCUUAUUAAGUUCUCCUAAGCUGUGACCGCCAAGAUAACCUGAUGAAGUGCUGGAUUUGCCAUCCAAAACCUCAUACUUUCACCACCAGAGUAUUCUUCUCAUCCUGCCAGUGCUAAACAACAUCGGCAUUCCUAAUGCCACAGUGCACCUUGACUAAACCCUGGCUUACUGAGUGGAAAUCUGACACCCAGUGUGCAGGACAGAACUGAAAGCGCCCUGUUAUAAUUUAAUCAUCUCUGUGGCAGAGUGUCACAACCACAACAACCUGUUUUAGGCAAUUCCUCCUUAUUUCAGGAUAUUGCUUUCCCAAUAUAUUCUACUAUUAUUCUUGAGAACUACAAGCAAGAUAGGGAGGAAGACUGGGCAGGUCCAAAGCUACCCGGGGAACUGUCCUUCAGACCCCUCCCCAACAAGAUAUCCUCCUUAGCAAAGCUAGUCCAUUUCAUGUGCCCAUAGACCACCCAGUUCUGGAGGGAGAGGUUUGUCUUCUCAAAUCCUUGGAACACUUUGACUGACACAGUCUCAAGGCAGCUCCAUUAAGUCAUAGUCAGGAUACAUUUUACAGACCCAGGAGAGCCACCUAGUACUACUACCACCAGCAGGACAGCCAGACCUGCCCAAAGAAGUGGUCUAGCCCAGGUUCUAGUGAUUCAGUAAAAAGGCUGUAAUGGUUAAUUGAGAUUGUCAACUUAGUUGGAUUGAGAGAUGCCUAGGAAAUGCCUAGGAUUAAAAGACUUCUAGGUAUGUUUAUGAGGGUAUUUCCAGAGGCAACUGGCAUAUAGGACAUCAAACUGAGGGAUGAAAUCCACCCUGAGUGUGGUGGGCAGCACAACCAUUAGUCUGGGGUCCUGGGUUAAACAAAAGAUGGAAGAAAGAGGAAGCUACAGGGUCUGCAAAUGCGAUUCUUCUGGAGCAGGUGAAUAUAUUGCUGCCAGGGGAUAUCAAACUCACUCUUCAGUGUGAACUCUCACCAGCCAUUCUCCAGGGAACUUCCAGGCCUUCUGUCUUGGUCUUGGACUGCAUCAGGUCAAAGGAUCUUCGGCCCCCUGUAACAGGAGUUCACUUGAUGCUUUGACUAUAUCCCUUGUGGCUUUGAAACUAACAUGCUUUUUUCUUUUUUCCAACCUUCUUCUCCCUGACCUUCUCCUCCCUGACCUUCUCCUCCCUGAUCUUUUUCCUAACCUCUUUCCUGAUCUUCUCCUCCCUGAUUUUCCUUUCCCUAACCUUCUCCUUCCUGAUCCUCUCCUCUCUGAUCUUCUUUUCCUUAAACCUCCCUGAUCUUCUCCUUCCUGAUCUCUCCUCCCUAAUUUCAUUUUAUCUGAAUCACCCCUUUUAAAACCCCCUGUUUCUGCUGAUGGGCAGAAUCACACAGCCUUUGGGAUGGGAGCCCCCUGUGUUUCUUCUUUGCUAGCUGUGUUUCUCCUUUUUCUCAAAACCUUGUCCUCAUUAUUGGAUUGGCAUUGGAGACAAGGACUAAGCUUUUGGCAACACCCCCAUCUGCACCAGCAGGCCUUCUUUCAGAAAACUCUAACUUGUGUUUCAACAAUGCUUGAGGUGUUGCUAGGCAUGGUGGUGCAUGCCUGUAAUCCAAGCAACUUUGAAAGCAAGGCAGGAGGCUGGUAAAUUCAAGGCCAGCCUGGGCAACUUAGCAAGACCCUCAGCAACUUAGCAAGACUGUCUCAAAAUAAAAAAUGAGAAGGAUUGGGAUGUAGCUCAGUAAUAAAGUUCCCCUGGAUUCAAUUCCAAGUUCUGAAAUAAAAAUAAAAUACAAUAAAACACAAUUCUUGAGGUGUUUAUAUAGGUACAGCAGGUGUUGACAAUCCCACACACACCCUCCCAGAAAGUCUACAGCAAUUCUGUUGUUUGGAGAAACAGUGUUGAGGGAUUUCUGAUGGACUGCCAACACAGCAGCAAUGAGGCAGUGGACACUGGUUCCUAUGUAUGGUAACAAAGAUCUCCUAAAGAACAUAAGUCCAGUCAGUUACACCUCCUGGCAAGUCCCAGGAAAGCCUUAUGUACAGCCACAGACUGCUGGCCCAGCAACAUUUCUUUUUUCCUUCUUUUUUUUAAAUUUUUUUUAGUGUUGAUGAACCUUUAUUUUAUUCAUUAAUUUAUAUGUGGUGCUGAGCCACAACCCCAGCUCCCCCAGCAACAUUUCUUAUAAGGCCCCUGCUUAGCAUCUGGAUGGCCAUCUUAAGUGACAAUUGCCAUUUUAAGGAAAAAGUUUCACUUUCCCACCCAAGGGCGUUUCUGAAAAAGGCUCACCACUCCCUCAUACCAAUCCAACCCUUAUCUGCCCACAUUAGGACUCGUCUAGCUAUGAUUCCUGAGCCUCCCCAAUAAAAGUCCCAGAAUUCAAGCCUGUUUUGCCUCUCUCUUCUAUAGAGAGAUGGCCUUUAUUUGUCAGCUCUGACAAACUCUUGUGUGUAUCCCUGCCUGGUCUCUGUCUUUCAUUUCUUGCUUACCUGUCUCUCCUUCCUCACUUUCCCCUCAUUUCUCACUCUCAGGCUUCUAUCUAGGGACAUUUCCAGUAAGCCUGCUUAAUGUUUUGCAUUUCAAAAGUUAUCAUUAAGAAAAUGAAAACAGGGGCUAGGGUUGUGGCUCAGCAGUAGAGGGCUUGCCUUGCUUGGGUGAGGCACUAGGUUCAAUCAUCAGCACCACAUAAAAAUAAGUAAAAUAAAACAAAGAUAUUGUGUCCAUCCAUAACUAAAAAAAAAAAAAAAAAGAAAGAAAAUGAAAAGAGCUGGGUAUGAUGGCCCCUGUCUGUAAUCCCAGCUACUCAGGAGGCUGAGGCAGGAGGAUUCAGAGAGUUGAGAGUUUGGAGCCAGUCUAGAAAAUUUAGCAAGGGAUAGGCAUGUAACUCAGAGGUAGAGCAUUUACCAAGCCUGCAUAAGGCCAUAGGUCCAUAGAUCCAAUCCCCAGCACAACUCAGCACCCUCUCCACCAGAGGAAAAAAAAAGAAGAAAAAAAACCACAAAAAAAGUCAGAUGCAAAAGAAUGCAUAUUUCAUGACUCAGUUUCCACAAAAUGUGCAGAAAAAGCAAAUGUCCAGAGAAAGAAAGUAGAACAAAGUUUAGCUGGGCAGGGAGUGGGAGAGGGUGUUGACUGAAAAUGGGCACCAGGAAAA